UGGGGAAUCUUGGACAAUGGACGAAAGUCUGAUCCAGCGAUGCCGCGUGAGUGAAGAAGGCCUUCGGGUUGUAAAGCUCUUUUACUUGGGAAGAAAAGCGUUAAGCGAAUAACUUAGCGUGAUGACGGUACCAGGAGAAUAAGGAUCGGCUAACUACGUGCCAGCAGCCGCGGUAAUACGUAGGAUCCAAGCAUUAAUCGGAAUUAUUGGGCGUAAAGAGUUUGUAGGCGGUUAUGUAAGUUGAAUGUGAAAGCCCCGGGCUUAACCUGGGAACUGCGUUCAAGACUAUAUGACUAGAGUAUGUAAGAGGGGAGUGGAAUUCCUAGUGUAGCAGUGAAAUGCGUAGAUAUUAGGAGGAACACCAGUGGCGAAGGCGCCUCCCUGG
rnacentral:rRNA from 1 species